rnacentral:snoRNA from 13 species
AGCACAAAUGAUGAGCCUAAAGGGACUUAAUACUGAAACCUGAUGUAACUAAAUAAUAUAUGCUGAUCGUGC